AGGGAAUAUUGGUAAUCUGGGAAACCGGGAACCAGCAACGCCGCGUGCGCUAUGAAGGCCUUCGGGUUUUAAAGCGCUUUUUAAUGGGAUGAGGAAGGACAGUACCUUUAGAAUAAGCCUCGGCUAACUACGUGCCAGCAGCCGCGGUAAAACGUAGGUGGCGAGCGUUAUCCGGAUUUACUGGGAGUAAAUCGUGUGCAGGAGGUUUGAUAAGUUGGAUGUGAAAGCUCCUGGCUUAAACGGGAGAGGUCGUU
rnacentral:rRNA from 1 species